CAAUAAAUAGUUUAUUUAAAAUAUUAAUUUUGGAGAUUAAAGAGAGAGGGUAAGUUCUUUUAUUGA
rnacentral:tRNA from 1 species